GUGCUCACUUCAGCAGCACAUAUACUAAAAUCGGAACGAUAGAAGAUUAGCAUGGCCCCUGUGUAAGGAUGACACACAAAUUUGUGAAGCGUUCCAUAUUUUU
ensembl:snRNA U6 U6 spliceosomal RNA